rnacentral:rRNA from 1 species
GACGGAGGAUGCAAGCGUUAUCCGGAAUUAUUGGGCGUAAAGCGUCCGCAGGUGGCUGUUCAAGUCUGCUGUCAAAGCGCAGAGCUUAACUCUGUACAGGCGGUGGAAACUGAAGAGCUAGAGUAUGGUAGGGGUAGAGGGAAUUCCCGGUGUAGCGGUGAAAUGCGUAGAUAUCGGGAAGAACACCAGUGGCGAAAGCGCUCUACUGGGCCGAUACUGACGCUGAGGAGCGAAAGCGUGGGGAGCAAACAGG